AGACAACAAAAUGUUUAAUAUUAUUAUUUUGUCACCUUAGGUCGAUCGGUAUCUCACGUUCUUAACUAAUUAAGAAUUUCAAUUCCUAAGUUUUUCUAGGUCACACCCAUUAUUUUCCCUGGGCCAUUAGCUCAGGUGGUUAGAGCGCACCCCUGAUAAGGGUGAGGUCCCUGGUUCAAGUCCAGGAUGGCCCAUAUCUCUAUGUUGGGGGUAUAGCUCAGUUGGUAGAGCGCCUGCUUUGCAAGCAGGAUGUCAGCGGUUCGAGUCCGCUUACCUCCACUGAUUACCACCUCUUCCAUAAUUUGUAGAAAGGGAAUUUUUUGAGUUGUGAUCAACUUCUGAACGAAUCUAGCUUCCUAAUGAAAGCAUUAAGAUGCUGGACUCAUUGAAUUAAUUUCAUUGUUUUCAGAGAACCUUGACAACUGCAUAGAUUAUUUUUAAAGACAAUAAGCAUCUUUAAUGAUGCAGAUUUAUUAUUUGUGCAAAUGCAUUAAUAACAAUUCUAUUAAGCUGAUGCUUCAAUUUUGAAGUUAUU
rnacentral:tRNA from 1 species